rnacentral:lncRNA from 1 species
CCAGGAUAUUGAAGAUAUUUCAUUAAAAAAUAUUUUACAGUGGAACGUCAUCGUUUUCACACAUUUAAAAACACUCACCUGGAUAAUUGUACAUCCUUAUCGAAACUGCCAGAUUGAAUAAUCUGUACACAGUCGUUGAACACAUUCUUACAGCGCUGAAGAAAAUUCCUACGUGCCAUGUUACACUAAAUGCCAUAGACAUCAUAUGUCUAUCCUAAAUGCUGCAUAGAACAAAUUUGUUGGAAUUGUAUAAAGGAAUCUACCAACUAAACGUUUCCAAAAUGACGUAUGCAAAUAUGCGUACCGUCACAUGCCUUACAAUUUGUCCAAUCACAAACGUGACGUAGAGAAAAAACCGCCACUUUCAAGGCUGUGUUGGCGCCCAUAAGUGAAAGAAUGUCUGACCGUCAUAUUCAUUCCCGUUUAUCAGAUUUACGAGCAAGGUUUAACGAUCAAGUGGACCGACUGAUAAAUGAGAUGGAAGAGCCAUCUGGAGAAAAUCUCGUGGACCAAUUCCAAAUGUUUAGAAGUAGCAGAAGUACUGCUGGGCCUACCUGCAGACGAAAGAGAAGACAAGUCACGCAAACACGCAAUGUGACUUUCAGAAUGAUUCUGUUAAAAAAACAUGUUGAGCGAUAUACAUCACAUACUGGUAAAUACAGUUUACUAUUUGUUAAAUCACUUUUCCAGAUGAGUAAUGCAUAUUUUUAAAUGAAAAUGCAUGUUUAUGUAUAUUUUCCCAGAUGGAAGUCCACAAUGCAAAAUCAUCAUCCCAUUACACCUAAAUGAAAUUGAAUUUAGGGAGGUGCUGAGAGAAAAAUUCCCUGACCUCCCAGACAGAUUUGAAUUUUGCAAAGUAGCCGGAAACCGAAAGGUGAUACCAAUUCAGCUGUCAGUCUUGUGCCCAGCUGAAAUUAAAGCAAGCAAUGUGCUGGGGCGGUCAGCUCUAUACAUUAGACCACUGGUAGGCAACAUUUUUACCCUUACUUUACAAACAAAUUUGUACAUUUUCCUGUUCAUAUU